UACGUAGGGGGCUAGCGUUGUCCGGAAUCAUUGGGCGUAAAGCGCGUGUAGGCGGUCCGGUAAGUCCGCUGUGAAAGUCGGGGGCUCAACCCUCGAAUGCCGGUGGAUACUGUCGGGCUAGAGUGCGGAAGAGGCGAGUGGAAUUCCUGGUGUAGCGGUGAAAUGCGCAGAUAUCAGGAGGAACACCUAUUGCGAAGGCAGCUCGCUGGGACGUAACUGACGCUGAGACGCGAAAGCGUGGGGGAGCAAACAGG
rnacentral:rRNA from 1 species